CAGGUUUUGGGGACGAAGAAGAUGAUGAUGAUGAUGAGGUUGUAGAUAGCUCACAGCAAGCAAGCGGAGAAACCGGUUUUCCCGACAGCCAGGAACUGUUUCUCACCCUGGACCUCGAGCCAGUACCCCCCCGAACCCACCCAAGGCUGCCUCCUGGACCCAGCAGGCGGAGAAGGGACCUCUGCUGCAUGUGUUUCAAUGAUCACAGGAUCUUCUCCUUCCCAGAGGCUAGUGAAGAUUAGAAAGAAAAAAAAAACGCACUUGAAAUGUUUUCCAAGCUCAUGCUGUCCUCCUGCACUGACAGAGCACAGACGAAUGCGUGGAGGCAAAUAAUGUCAGAGUGCAGGAAAGCACAAAAUGACCGGGAGGAGAGGUGGCGGGCUGAAGAGAGUAAGUGGCGGGCUGAAGAGAGGGCUAAGCUCAAAUGUGGCGGCAGCGUGAUGAGAGGAGGCAGGAUUCAAUGCUGAGGCUGCUGGAGGACCAAACCAGUAUGCUCCAGUGUAUGGUUGAGCUGCAGCAAAGGCAGCUGGAGCACAGACUGCCACUACAGCCCCUGUGUAACCAACCGCCCUCCUCCCCAAGUUCCAUAGCCUCCACACCCAGACGCCCAAGAACGCGGUGGAGGGGCCACCGGCCAACCAGCCACUCCGCCACAGAGGAUUGCCCAAAAAAAAGAAGGCUGUCAUUCAAUAAAUUUUAAAGUUGUAAACUUUUAAAGUGCUGUGCUUAAAGUGCUGUGUGGCAUUUUCCUUCCCUCCUCCACCACCCCUCCUGGGCUACCUUGGUAGUCACCCCCCUAUUUGUGUGAUGAAUGAAUAAAGAAUGCAUGAAUGUGAA